AACGUAGGAGACAAACGUUAUCCGGAGUUACUGGGCGUAAAGGGCGUGUAGGCGGUUUGUUAAGUCUGGCGUGAAAGCUCUCGGCUAAACCGGGAGAGGUCGUUGGAUACUGGCAAACUAGAGGACGGUAGAGGCGUGUGGAAUUCCGGGUGUAGUGGUGAAAUGCGUAGAGAUCCGGAGGAACACCAGUGGCGAAGGCGGGUCGCUGGGCCGAUACGUGACGCUGAGGAGCGAAAGCGUGGGGAGCGAACGAGGA
rnacentral:rRNA from 1 species